GAUGAACGCUAGCUACAGGCUUAACACAUGCAAGUCGCGGGGUAACAUCUGGGAGAGCUUGCUCUUCCAGGAUGACGACCGGCGCACGGGUGAGUAACGCGUAUCCAACCUGGCCCAUACCACGGGAUAGCCCGUCGAAAGGCGGAUUAAUACCGUAUGCUGUCAUCAAGAUGCAUAUAUUGAUGACGAAAGGACUGGCGGUAUGGGAUGGGGAUGCGUCUGAUUAGCUUGUUGGCGGGGUAACGGCCCACCAAGGCGACGAUCAGUAGGGGUUCUGAGAGGAAGGUCCCCCACAUUGGAACUGAGACACGGUCCAAACUCCUACGGGAGGCAGCAGUGAGGAAUAUUGGUCAAUGGGCGGAAAGCCUGAACCAGCCAAGUAGCGUGAAGGGAAGACUGCCCUAACGGGUUGUAAACCUCUUUUUGUUUUGGGAAUAAAGUGCGGGCGUGUCCCCGCAUUGCAUGUACCAUUUGAAAUAAAGGACCGGCUAAUUCCGUGCCAGCAGCCGCC
rnacentral:rRNA from 1 species